CACUCCUUUUAUUUUUACCCCUGCCGCCGCCACCUCUCUCCUGCUCCCUUCUUCUUCCACGGCAAGGCACAGAGCUCCUCUUCCGUUUUUCUUCUUCCACCCGAAGCAACCAGAGCCCUCUCUCCCAUCGAUCUCCCUCUGCUUUUCCACAUCGUAAGAAGCAGCAGCCAGCCACCUCCGAUCCUCUCCUUCUCUGUUGUUUUCUUCCUCCACCGCAAGAAGCAGAGCAGCACACCACCACUCCCGCCGAUCCUCCUUUCUGAUUCUUGCAAGCAUCACCACCACACGCCACUCCCUCCUGCUCUCCUCUCGUCCACAGCAGAGAGCAAGCAAUUAGCUUCCUUUUUACUACUCGAUCUCCCUCCCUUAAUUUCUUACCAGCAGCUCCCUCUCUCUUCUCCUCUCUGAUUUCUCCAAUCCGAGUCCAGCAGCCACAAAAUCAAACGCCACUUCCUCUACUCUGCUUCCCCAAACGAGAAAUCUAAAUCCACCAGCAGCUCUCCAUUCCUUGCCGAGCGAACUAGCAGCGGCCACCAGCAAGGGAGAGAGACGAGGAGAGGAAAUGGUGAGGAGGAACAGAGCAAGAAGGGCGCCAUCCCCGCUGGACCAGACUACCAGAGCCACGACGUGCCGAUGGGAACUGCAAGCACGAGAAGCACACGACAUCGGCAAGAUGCACGAGAAGGGCUACGCCACCAGCACUGACCCGGAGCUGCUUCCAUGGACGCCUGCGACAUGUUCGACGGAAUGCCCCAGCCAUGUCGCUCUCCGCCGCCGCCGACCAGAGCAGCAGCACUGCCGUCGGAGCUUCGCCAUCAAGCCGGCGCCCCGUACGACUACAUCGACGUAGCUCCGCGGCCUGCACCGCACCAAGACGCCACGGCCUCGUCUCGUCGCUGCCUCGCCCUUUUCUUCCUCACGCGUCGCCAGUCUCUUCGAGGAGAAGUUGACCGACGUCCGGGACGACCAGAAGUUCUAGGAGGACUUCCCGAACGCCUCGAAGACCUCGAAGGACUACUCAGACGCCCAGAAGAUCCAGAAGGACGUAUCGGACGACCAGAAGCCUCCAGAGAUCCAGGAAGACUACGAAGAACCACCAGGUUCACGCCCAUCUAUGAUUUGAAUACCUAUCAAGCAUUGCUUGCUAGAUUUGCUAUUGUUUUACUUUAUGUUGAGAUGAACCUGCAUAGCCUACUUAUUUUACCGUAUUCCUUGUACUCCUAUUUCACCAUGUUGAAUGGUUGAGAUGUUGUGUAUGUGUAUGUGUGGGAUCUUGUGAUGAUAGUCUUGGUGUGAGUGGAGAUCCACAUAUGAGGAGUUGGUGGCUAGGACUUUAGCGGAGGCGAGUGAACUUGCCUGAUCCUCGGAUCGGGAUGCUAGGGAUUGUGUGCUGGGCACGUCCUACGAAGUACUAGUGGUGGGUGCAUGUCUCUUCAGGGACACCGUUCGUUCAGGAACUUUUUGCGGUGCUUGGCGGGGAAUACCUGUAAUGGGUGCCGAACGCGGACCGCUAGGGCGGAUACGCAUCAGGACGGAGAUACUCGCCUCGACAACUUAAGGCCCAAGAAUAGUGAACCUGGAGAAGGAACUAUGUCAAACGUGCACGCCACUUAUCCAUUAUGCGUGUGGACCCAGUUCGAGCUAGCUACGCGCGGCACCAAGCCUGUAGGAGGAUAGGGUAUCAGUGUUAGGGGUAGAGGGCUCCGACCCUAUGGCUCCUGAUUAGUAGGAUUCCUUGGGAUCCGUCUGUAGAAGGCUUCACAGUCCCGGGCGACCUCUCGCAGGAGGACGCACCCCAGACCGGGAAAAUAGGAUGGUGUCCGUAGCCGCUAGUUUCGUGGUCGGUGCCUCGGGGUCAGUCGGGUCAUUCCCUUCUGGCAUCGGGGCGAGUGGGUACAUAUAUACAACUGUAGGGUCGAUAUGGCGGACUAAAGGGGUGGUGAAUAGUUCUUUCUAAAACUAAUUGCGCCGGCUAACCGAAACUUAUGCGGAAUUGAAACUAUUCGCUUAGCCAAGCCUUUACCCCUCUAACUAUAACUCUAAGGCACCUCCAAAAGAUCCUACACAAAGCAAAAGGUGUGCCAGGCUAGCUAGAGUUCACCUAAUCAAUUCUAAUGCAAGGUCACUCAAAUCUAAGCACUAGUACUUCACACACCGGUGGAGCUCCUACUCAAUUCUAAUGAGCAAAAGCACAAAGCCAACCUAAGCUCACUAGAUGCACAAAAGACAAGGCUACACAAGCCAAACCCAAGGGCUCAAAAACAACUUAGCUACACAAACUAAGCAAAGGUACUUAGCUACACAAGCUAACUAGCACAAGAGAGAAAAAAAUAUUUUACUACACAAGCAAACUAGUUACACAAGAGCAACUAAAACUCACUAGCACAAGUAUAUGAGCAAGUAAAUACAAGCUAGUGAAGGGAAUUGCAAACCAACGGGAAGAACAAGUGUUGACACAAUGAUUUUAUCCUGAGGUUCACUUGGUUGCCACCAAGCUAGUCCCCGUUGAGACAAGCUCAAGGUCGCCGCCGGUCCUCUUGCUAGUGGUGACUCACGAGUCACACUCUCCCACGUGGAGUGCUUACCACAAGCUCUAGCACUUGACCCGGCCGGACCACUUGCUGCUCUUCGAGUCUCGCUCAACUAGAGUUACUCUUCGCGGCUCCCGCGGGGUGAGUACAAAACCUCUCACAAUCACUUCUCCGGAGCACCGCACAAUCUUCUUGCGGGCUUCACGACGGAAACACACCACCAAGCCGUCUAGGAGAUGGCAACCUCCAAGAGUAACAAGCACCACCGGCUUGCAACUCGAUCACCUAGUGCCAAUCUCUAGCAAUCUCUCAAUGCAACGCACUAGAAUCGCUCUCUCACUUAGCGAAUUUGAUUUGCUCUAAUCUCAAGUGAGUUGGAGGGCUCUCAAGCACUCUCACACAAGGACACCAAGUCCCCAAGGUGCUCAACCUCUCAAAUGGUUGGCCACACCCUCUAUUUAUAGAGGGAGGCCCCAAACUAGCCGUUACACUCAAAAUUCCGUGAAAACAGAGCUUUCGCGGACUAUCUGCCUCAUAGAGACCGGAUUGUCUGCCAUUCAAACCCAAUGACUAGAACUGCAAUGAUUGCGUGUUAGAGUCAACCGUUAGAGCCCCGGGCGGACUGUCAGCACCCAAGGGGCGGACCGUCUGCGGUUCAAAACUCCGAACCCACCGAUUUAGAAACGUCUCUGACUAAAUCUGGAAGUGCCCAGCGGACUGUCCGCUCCCCAGGGGCAGACCGUCUGUCGUUCAACUCGCUCGCCAUACCAGAAACCGCAGAGUUUUUGUCCCAGAAUUUUCAACAAGAGGCGGACCGUCCGCCCCAAGGGCCGGACUGUCCGCAAUACAAAUUGGGACACCACCCAGAGCCAAGAACGGUUCUGUUCGAGCUCAAACACAAAACCGACGGACCAUCCGCCGCCCAGUAGCGGACUGUCCGCUGGUCCAUUUCCAGUAGAACCAAACCUCGAUAAAACGCUCAUAACUUUUAGCUCCGAACUCGAAUUCGAUGAUCUUGGACAUUUUGGAAAGCUUACUCAGAGGGCUACACAACCCACUUGAAUAUUUGAUCCAGAGCACAAUGGAUCAAAGCAGUAUUCCACUCCAAGAGCCAUCCUAAUGUCCGGAGAACACCGAAACCCCUUUCUUUCUUCCCCAAGUUGAUCAACAUCAACUCCAACACCUUCUCCUUUGCAAAAGUGCCAACACCACCAAGUGUACACCACCAUGCAUGUCUGUUAGCAUUUUCACAAACAUUUUUCAAAGGAUUUUCACUUGCUCUCACUGCGCCACUCAAUCUCAGCACAUCGCAAAAUUAGAUCGCUCCAAGUGGCACUAGACGACCGAUAUGCAAACAAGUUCGCCUCUCUUGAUAGUACGGCCAUCUAUCCUAAAUCCGGUCAAGCACUUCUCUACUCAACCUUAGACCGGUGAAAUGAAAUGCCCUAGGUUAUACCUUUGCCUUGCGCAUUUCCAUUUCAUCUCCAUUUUUAUCUCCAUCCUCCAAUUAUCGAUGCAACCAAUGCACCAACACAAUCAUGAAUGAUAUGAUCCAGUCCAUAUCAUUACAUGACCUCUUUGGUCCAUCGAUCUUGACCUUGCUCGCUCUUCACCGUCGCCUCGGUCCAUCAGUGCCAAAUCUUGCCCAGGCUUCACCGCCUGGCGGUCCGUCGCUUCGAAGCCUUGACUCGCCCUUCACCAUUGCAACUGGUCCAUCAAGCCAAACAUUGUCUUGAUCUUCUCCACCUUGGUCACAUGACUCCAUGUCAUGUCUCAUAUACAAUGAACUCCUCACCAUCACCUGUGGACUAAUCACCUGUAUAUCUCCAUAUACCACAUUAUUAGUCCACCUAAUCAUGUCACUCAAUUACCAAAACCAUACAAGGACCUUUCAACAACCCCUGCGUGGUGAAAACUAUACGUAUAGCGGUGUACUCGAUCAUGUACAACUCUGAAGCUGGCUUCACUUUCAUAGAGUAGUGUUACUUGAUAUUUCUACCUCCCUCUAGUCUACUUUCCUGCUCGAAUAGCAGUUGAGGUGCGAGGGGAGAUGAAGUUCCCGCACAGAAUCGGGGGGUUUUGGAGGUGUGUGUUGACCGGGAGUCCGGGAUGCCGGAAUGGCCCGUAAUAAGGUGAUUGGUUGAAGUAUAUAUUUAUAUACUUGCUGCUGCUUGCAUAGAAAACCCUAGCCUUAUCCUUUGGCUAUACUUUUAUACCGUUGCAUCCACUCAAAGCUUGCAUACGGAUGGUGAUGUGAACCUAUCCAGUCCUUGGGAAUAAUUUGUUAGAUGCAGGAUCCGAUCCGUGGAUCGACCACGACGACUGAGGAUGAAGCUAAGGACGGUUCGUGCUACACUCGAGGUUGGCCUGUGGAGGAGAGACAUCAGGACGAAGGAUGUCCAGAAGUUUAGCUACCGCUUCCGAUCUCUGUUUGUUCUCCUUUAGCCCAAGGGACUUGUACUCAGAAAUUCGUAACACAAUCAUCUGGAUUAUGUAAUAAUUAAACCCGUGUAAUGAUUUCUAGCAUUGUAUGUCUAUGAUAUCUAAUUGAAAUGAGUUCUGUAUGUGA